AGUGAACGCUGGCGGUAGGCCUAACACAUGCAAGUCGAACGGCAGCACAGUAAGAGCUUGCUCUUACGGGUGGCGAGUGGCGGACGGGUGAGGAAUACAUCGGAAUCUACUUUUUCGUGGGGGAUAACGUAGGGAAACUUACGCUAAUACCGCAUACGACCUACGGGUGAAAGCAGGGGAUCUUCGGACCUUGCGCGAUUGAAUGAGCCGAUGUCGGAUUAGCUAGUUGGCGGGGUAAAGGCCCACCAAGGCGACGAUCCGUAGCUGGUCUGAGAGGAUGAUCAGCGACACUGGAACUGAGACACGGUCCAGACUCCUAAGGGAGGCAGCAGUGGGGAAUAUUGGACAAUGGGCGCAAGCCUGAUCCAGCCAUACCGCGUGGGUGAAGAAGGCCUUCGGGUUGUAAAGCCCUUUUGUUGGGAAAGAAAAGCAGCAGGUUAAUACCCCGCUGUUCUGACGGUACCCAAAGAAUAAGCACCGGCUAACUUCGUG
rnacentral:rRNA from 1 species